rnacentral:rRNA from 1 species
CAGGUAAUUGGUGGGGUAAUGGCCUACCAAGCCUACGAUCCUUAGCUGAUCUGAGAGGAUGAUCAGCCACACUGGGACUGAGACACGGCCCAGACUCCUACGGGAGGCAGCAGUGGGGAAUCUUGGACAAUGGGCGCAAGCCUGAUCCAGCCAUGCCGCGUGAGUGAAGAAGGCCUUCGGGUUGUAAAGCUCUUUUACCAGGGACGAUAAUGACGGUACCUGGAGAAUAAGCCCCGGCAAACUUCGUGCCAGCAGCCGCGGUAAUACGAAGGGGGCUAGCGUUGUUCGGAAUUACUGGGCGUAAAGCGCACGUAGGCGGGUCGUUAAGUCAGGGGUGAAAUCCCAGAGCUCAACUCUGGAACUGCCUUUGAUACUGGCGACCUAGAGUUCGGAAGAGGUUAGUGGAAUUCCCAGUGUAGAGGUGAAAUUCGUAGAUAUUGGGAAGAACACCAGUGGCGAAAGCG